UACGUAGGGGGCAAGCGUUAUCCGGAUUUACUGGGUGUAAAGGGAGCGUAGACGGCGGUGCAAGCCAGAUGUGGAAGCCCGGGGCUCAACCCCGGGACUGCAUUUGGAACUGUGCUGCUAGAGUGUCGGAGAGGCAGGCGGAAUUCCUAGUGUAGCGGUGAAAUGCGUAGAUAUUAGGAGGAACACCAGUGGCGAAGGCGGCCUGCUGGACGAUGACUGACGUUGAGGCUCGAAAGCGUGGGGAGCAAACAGG
rnacentral:rRNA from 1 species